GAUGAACGCUGGCGGCGUGCCUAAUACAUGCAAGUCGAGCGAACGGACGAGAAGCUUGCUUCUCUGAUGUUAGCGGCGGACGGGUGAGUAACACGUGGAUAACCUACCUAUAAGACUGGGAUAACUUCGGGAAACCGGAGCUAAUACCGGAUGAUAUUUUGAACCGCAUGGUUCAAAAGUGAAAGACGGUCUUGCUGUCACUUAUAGAUGGAUCCGCGCUGCAUUAGCUAGUUGGUAAGGUAACGGCUUACCAAGGCAACGAUGCAUAGCCGACCUGAGAGGGUGAUAGGCAACACUGGAACUGAGACACGGUCAAGACUCCUAAGGGAGGCAGCAGUAGGGAAUCUUCAGCAAUGGGCGAAAGCCUGACGGAGCAACGCCGCGUGAGUGAUGAAGGUCUUCGGAUCGUAAAAAUCUGUUAUUAGGGAAGAACAUAUGUGUAAGUAACUGUGCACAUCUUGACGGUACCUAAUCAGAAAGCCACGGCUAACUACGUG
rnacentral:rRNA from 1 species